UUGAACGCUGGCGGCAUGCUUUACACAUGCAAGUCGAACGGCAGCGCGGGCUUCGGCCUGGCGGCGAGUGGCGAACGGGUGAGUAAUACAUCGGAACGUGCCCAGUAGUGGGGGAUAGCUCGGCGAAAGCCGGAUUAAUACCGCAUACGACCUGAGGGUGAAAGCGGGGGAUCUUCGGACCUCGUGCUAUUGGAGCGGCCGAUGGCAGAUUAGCUAGUUGGUGGGGUAAAGGCCUACCAAGGCGACGAUCUGUAGCUGGUCUGAGAGGAGGACGAGCCACACUGGGAGUGAGACACGGCCCAGACUCCUACGGGAGGCAGCAGUGGGGAAUUUUGGACAAUGGGCGAAAGCCUGAUCCAGCAAUGCCGCGUGUGUGAUGAAGGCCUUCGGGUUGUAAAGCACUUUUGGCGGGAACGAAAAGGACUGUGCCAAUACCACGGUUCGAUGACGGUACCCGCAGAAUAAGCACCGGCUAACUACGUG
rnacentral:rRNA from 1 species